rnacentral:ribozyme from 1 species
GUUUUUUAAUUUUUUUUCUUUUUUAAAAGGAAAAAAAAAAAGAAAAAAUUAGAAAGUGGGAUUUAUUAGAUCAAAAA